rnacentral:rRNA from 1 species
UACAGAGGGGGCAAGCGUUGUUCGGAAUUACUGGGCGUAAAGGGCGCGUAGGCGGCCUUCUAAGUCAGAUGUGAAAUCCCCCGGCUUAACCUGGGAACUGCGUCUGAUACUGGGAGGCUUGAGUAUGGGAGAGGGAUGUAGAAUUCCAGGUGUAGCGGUGAAAUGCGUAGAUAUCUGGAGGAAUACCGAUGGCGAAGGCAGCAUCCUGGGCCAUUACUGACGCUGAGGCGCGAAAGCUAGGGGAGCAAACGGG